rnacentral:lncRNA from 1 species
GUAAAUUACCCAGACUGCAAAAUAGUUAUUUUUUUCAUCUGAAUUUUAACAAUGAAGAAAUGAGGAAGAUCAAUUCUUGUUUGGGAAUAAAAGCAACAUCAUUUGUUUUUUUUCAACAGAGUUGCCAGCAUUCAAUUUGUCCGUGAUGUAUUUUGUUCAGAGCCCAGAGAUUACUGCCAUUAACUGUCUACUUUCAUGAUUUGUGUGUUCCUCAAAUUUAUCUUUAAUGCAGCUCAAAUAAAAUAUGUGCUCUUAAAAAUUAGUUCCAUAUCCUUUCUAACUAAUAUUGAACUAAGUAACUCAGAAGUUGGUCUGGGCUUUAAACACAGACUGUGUGUUUAUGCUCACAUCACUCUUGUUUGUUGCCUUUGGUUCUCUCAGUCUCACAACACUGUGGCUGUUGAUGAAUGUGCUCUCGUCUCUGUUUGGGUUGAGCAAUAUUAGAAUUACUGAGUGAUUCUCAUUUACUUCCCAGAAAGAACUGUAGGGAAGACGAACACAAAACAUAAAGAUAACGAAUCUGUGAUGCAAAUACAUUUCUCGAAAGCUCAAAUUGAAAAUAAGACACAACUUUUUUUCUUUUUAAUAGAAAAAAAUUCCUUUAGUGAGAUGUUUACCAACCGGAGAAACAACCAUAGCAAAUGUACAGUGAUUGUGGUGCACUAGGCUCACUAAUAGGGUUCCCAGAACCCACACCACAAUAUUUGAUGUCGGAAGUAAGUAUAGGACAUGAGUAUGUACCAUUUCCAAGGGACCAGAAGUUUCCUUUCUGGCUACUGGACUUUCCACUGUAGGGCAGACAGCUCUGUUCUUUAUAUUUGAGGACACUUUUUAGUUCCACAUUAAAACUGGUCGUUUUCUGGAAAAAGGUGUUGAAGACUAUCAACUGCUCUCCUCAACAACACAGAAAGAACCAGGCAAUGGGCAGUUUAUAGUUUUGCAAGAUUGUGAUCAUAGUGACCUGGGGGAAGAAAAGGCUUGCUUGUCCCUUUGGCCCAAGGAAAGUUGGGGCCUGAACAAGGUUAGGGCACACUUAUGUGGAGGAUGCCCUCCAACAUUGGCAUUAGGACAGUGGACAGGGCUUAUGGUUGGAGUUCUCUAGUUGAAACCCUAUGGACAGGUGAGGUGGGAAGACUGCAGAUGAGCAAAACUAUUCGAAGCUGUGUGCUGCCCCUCAUGAUUCUCCUCAGCUUACCUCGCACCUCCAGGAAUCUGUGUCGGGAUUACUUCAUGGUCUUGGCUGUGUUUAGGAGAAUGAAAGUGAAGCCUCUGAGUAUAUGUGAGGCCCAGCAGUCCACAGGACAAGGAAGGGGUCAGAAGCCAUGGCAGAAGAGCAAGCUCAAGGGCUAGAGCGAAAGUGCUGCAUUUUAGAACAAAGCAGCAGUUGAGCAUCUUCCAGGGCUCUUGAAAACCAGAUGGAAUGAAGAAAAUUUUUGCAUUGGUGAAAGAUGAAAACUCUGGCUAUAGUAGAGAGGAUCUAAAGAAAAGUGUACCCCAUUGUUAAAGAAAAGUGUACCCUGUGGUUAAAGAAAAGUGUACCCCAUGGUUGAGACUGUGGAGGUUUCUGUGCUAUAAGCUUGACAUAGAAAUCUAUUAAGGGUGGCAACACCAGUUGAUAGAAAAUUAAAUAAUCAUAUUUGAGAAUAGUGGCUAAGUGGCAGAACUCUUGCUUGGUUUGCAAGAGGUCCUAGGUUCAAUCCCAAGCAUGUGUAUGUGUGUACACAUUUACACACACACAAUAGUCCUUUUUUUGUUUACCCACCUGUCUUCCCUAUCUCCCUCCUUUCUCCCUCUUUCUCUCUCUCCCCUUUUCUCUCCCCCCUCUCUCUGUGCAUAUUUUCCCUGGUGUGCAUGUGAAAGAAAAACUUACACAAGACAAUUCUGUCUUUCCACCAUGUGGGGUCCAAGAGUCAAACUCAAGUCAUCAGCUUUUCCAGCAAAUACCUUUACUGACUGAGCCAUUUUGCCAAACCCAGAAUAGUCUUUUAAAACAAAUAAUAUUGGAGCAAUUUGGGUAAUCAAAUGUAGAAGAAUUAAAUUUGGCAUCUAAUACUGAACAUUAUACAAAAUUAGUUCAAAGCAGAUAGAAGACCAAAGGUAACUACUUAAUCUACAAAAUUUAUAUUAAAAAACAAUAGGAAUAACUCUUUGGGUACUGCCCAUUAGCAGGAGAAUAUCAAAUAUAACAGCAAAAGCAUGAGCAAAAACAGAUAAGUUGGAGGUCAUCAAAAAUAUAAACUUAGAGAAUGUUAUCAAGAAUGGAAGAAAAUAUUUUCAAUAAGUAAAUGACAGUCAGUGUUAUUAGUCACAGAGAAAAUGAAAAUCAAAGCCAACAAGUGUUAGUAAGAAUGAAGCAGGAAGAUGAACCCUUAUACAUGUUGGCCCAUAUAUAAAUUGUUCCUGCCAUUAUGGAACUUAAUAUUCAGGCUCAUUCAAAACUGAAAAUAGAUUUUCAUGUGCUCCAGAUAUAUAACUUCCUGGUUUAUGUUGAAAAUAUUCAAAUCAGCUUAUUAUAGAUGUUACUUGCUUCUCGUGGUCAUAGCUUCACUAUGCGUAUUAGCUAAGUUAUGGUACCCAUCAGCAGAGGAAUGGAUAAAGAAAAUGCCCCCCCAAACACACAUAGACACACACACACGCACACACACACACACACACACACACACACACACACACACUUUAUUCAGCUAUAAAGGAGAAUUAAUGUUGGUGCUGACCUCUAGUCCCAGUCAUUUGGGAGGCUGAGGCAGAGGAUCACAAGUUUCAAGCUUUCCAGUGCUAUGGAGAGAGUAGAGGCCAUCCUGGGUAACUUAAUGGUCCCUGUUUCAAAUUUGAAGAAGAAGAAGAAGAAGAAGAAGAAGAAGAAGAAGAAGAAGAAGAAGAAGAAGAAGAAGAAG